rnacentral:sRNA from 1 species
AUGUCCCACUCGUGCACUCCGGUUCCCACGCACUGUCCGCACCUACCUAACGACUGCUUGCUAGGUAGUGUUAGCC